CGCCGCGCGCGCGGCGGGCUACGGGAGGCAGCAGUGGGGAAUCUUCCACAAUGGGCGAAAGCCUGAUGGAGCAACGCCGCGUGAGUGAUGAAGGCCUUCGGGUUGUAAAGCUCUGUUAUUCGGGACGAAAGAGCGCAUGGCUAAUAUCCAUGCGAAGUGACGGUACCGAAAGAGAAAGCCACGGCUAACUACGUGCCAGCAGCCGCGGUAAUA
rnacentral:rRNA from 1 species